rnacentral:rRNA from 1 species
UAAGCAUAUCAAUAAGCGGAGGAAAAGAAACCAACAGGGAUUGCCCUAGUAACGGCGAGUGAAGCGGCAACAGCUCAAAUUUGAAAUCUGGCCCUCGCGGUCCGAGUUGUAAUUUGUAGAGGAUGCUUUUGGUUAGGUACCUUCCGAGUUCCCUGGAACGGGACGCCAGAGAGGGUGAGAGCCCCGUACGGUUGGAUACCGAGCCUCUAUAUAGCUCCUUCGACGAGUCGAGUAGUUUGGGAAUGCUGCUCUAAAUGGGAGGUAAAUUUCUUCUAAAGCUAAAUACCGGCCAGAGACCGAUAGCGCACAAGUAGAGUGAUCGAAAGAUGAAAAGUACUUUGAAAAGAGGGUUAAAUAGCACGUGAAAUUGUUGAAAGGGAAGCGUUUGCGACCAGACUUUUUCCGGGCGGAUCAUCCGGUGUUCUCACCGGUGCACUUCGCCCGGUUUAGGCCAGCAUCGGUUCUCCUAGGGGGAUAAAGGCGGGGGGAACGUGGCUCCUUCGGGAGUGUUAUAGCCCCCCGCGUAAUACCCCUCGGGGGACCGAGGAACGCGCAUCUGCAAGGAUGCUGGCGUAAUGGUCGCCAACGACC